rnacentral:rRNA from 1 species
CAGCCGCCACGGGAAUACGGAGGGGGCUAGCGUUGUUCGGAAUCACUGGGCGUAAAGGACGCGUAGGCGGAUUAUCAAGUCUCUUGUGAAAUCUAACGGCUUAACCGUUAAACUGCUUGGGAAACUGAUAAUCUAGAGUAAGGGAGAGGCAGGUGGAAUUCUUGGUGUAGGGGUAAAAUCCGUAGAUAUCAAGAAGAAUACCUAUUGCGAAGGCGAUCUGCUGGAACUCAACUGACGCUAAUGCGUGAAAGCGUGGGGAGCAAACAGGAUUAGAUACCCCCGUAGUCCCUGUUCUUAUACA